rnacentral:rRNA from 1 species
UUAAAAAGCUCGUAGUUGGAUUUCUGCAGGAGUGCCUGUUGUCCGCCCACGUUGCGUGUGCAGCGGCGCCCCUGCAUCCUUCGGUUACCUCCGCUCGGCAUUCACUUGCCGGCGGUUGGCUCCGAAUAUUUACCUUGAGAAAAUUAGAGUGUUUCAGGCAGGCUUAGCCGGAAUACAUUAGCAUGGAAUAAUAGAAUGGACUACGGUCUCGUUGUUGGUUUGAGGGACUGGAGUAAUGAUUAAUAGGGAUAGUUGGGGGCAUUAGUAUUUAAUUGUCAGAGGUGAAAUUCUCAGAUUAACUAAAGACUAACUUAUGCGAAAGCAUUUGCCAAGGAUGUUUUCAUUAAUCAAGAACGAAAGUUAGGGGAUCAAAGACGAUCAGAUACCGUCCUAGUCUUAACCAUAAACUAUGCCAACUCGGGAUCGGGGGCGUGUAAU